rnacentral:lncRNA from 1 species
CGAGGCUCUGCAUCUAGAUUUACCUCGUUCUCUUUUGUCUCCGCUUUUUUUUCACAUUUCCUUGCGACCCUGGCCCUUGAGCGACAAAAAGGGGAAGCCAAGGCUGGCCCGAGGAACGGAGAGGGCACAUGGCCUAGCCACAAGUGGAGCUUCUGCUCCGCCCGAAGGGAUGCGCUGGAGCGGCCUCUUCCUUCUGCCACGGUCUUUCUUUGCCAACUAGUAGAUUUGGACAUUUACAGUGUUCAGCCGUUGUUGUGGCAUUCCAAUUCAAUUGGGAAACAGCUUGAUGUAGCGUCCCCAUAAGGUCCACAGUAAUUAAAUUUUUUUUUUUUUUUUUUGGUGCGGUAGUGCAAUUUCAUGGCUCACUGCAACCUCCACCUCCCAGGUUCAAGCGAUCCUCCCAUCUCAGCCUCCCUAGUAGCUGGGAUUACAGGUGCACGCCACCACACCAGGCUAAUUUUUGUAUUUUUAGUAGAGAUGGGGUUUCACCAGGUUAGCCAGGCUGGUCUUGAACUCCAGACCUCAAGGGAUCCGCCUGCCUCAGCUUUCCAAAGUGCUGGGAUUACAGGUGAGAACCACUGCACCCAUCCUAUUAAACUUUUAAAUCAUGAUAGUUACCAUGUAUAGAGUGUUUAUAUGCCAGGCAUUGAGCUAAGUCUUUUACGUCUUGCGCUCAUUCUGUGCAACAGCCCAAUGGGAGAAAUUCCAUGAAUAUAGUUACCAUUUCCUUGAUUUCUAGAGAAGCUGGAUAUGUUUUCUUUUUUUCCAGUAUUAUUUCUAUUUAUCCUUUUGUGAAUUGUCUGUUGUUAUUUUCAUUGGAAUAUUCUCUUUUUUUGACAGAGUCUCACUCUGUUGCCCAGGCUGGAGUGCAAUGGCACGAUCUCGGCUCAUUGCAAACCUCUGCCUCCUGGGUUCAAGCAAUUCUCCUGCCUCAGCCUCCCAAGUAGCUGGGAUUACAGGCACCCGCCACCACGCCCAGCUAAUUUUUUGUAUUUUUAGUAGAGACGGGGUUUUGCCAUGUUGGCCAGGCUGGUCUCGAACUCCUGACCUCAGGUGAUCCACCCAUUUCGGCCUCCCAAAGUACUGGGAUUACAGGUGGAGACUGGACCUCAGAAGAGGGAGUGGGUGCCCCGAGAACUCACAGCUAGCGGACAGUGGAAAGGGCAGGAGCCGGACCAAGGUGAGGACAGUGGAACUGAAGGCCGCUGGUUACCUCUCCUGCCCUCCGCUGGCCACAGUGGAGAAGACAGCCCCUCCCUCCUGCUCUGACCUGACAGUGUUCAUCCAUCGCCCUGUAUUAGCGAAGAACAACAUCAAGCUGGCUAGCAAGGAACUGUAUACAGGGUCCAGCUGGGUAUCACACUGGAUCUCACCCAAAGCUUAGAUGUGAUCCAGCUCAGUAUCACAAAGCAGAACGAAAAGGAUGUGUUUGGGCUGAGAGGCCAUACAUUGGCUCCGGCAUGACGGGUGACUUCUUCCGAGUCUGGCUUCUGCAGCACACAGGGCUUCGCCAGCACCCAGCUCCUGCAGCAUGGGCAGCUCCUGUGACAGCAGGCGCCCGCAGCCUGCAAAGCGUCUCCAGUGCCGCCGCCUCAGUGAACCUCAACCAGCGGCACCUAGCAGCUUUCUCUGCCACCCUCUUCAGGUAGUUCUGUAGCAGCGCGUUUCUCAUGAGACACUUCCCUGUGAGCAGCUUUUUCUACCCUUGAGGAUGGAUUUCCAGCAAAUUCUGCCCAUGUGGUACCACAGCCACUUCUCUGCCAUUCAGUGAAACUGCCGUUGUGCCCUCUUCAAGGUCUGGAUCUAAGCCCAGGGACCAGGAAACCUCUUGCUUGAGUGCUGGAACUCAGGCCAGAAGGCAGGAAGCCCGCCUGACCCCAUGUCUCAGGCUGCCAGAGGAGCGUGCGAUGAGGAAGGCUGGACUGUCUUCACAGGACACCAGGGAGAAGCCUCAAGCCACUGCCCCCUGACAAGUCGCAGCUCUCCAGCCUGUCUCCUCACUCCCCUCCCCUCCACAUGGGGGGGUUGGGGUGGGGGCGGGGAAGGUUCGGGGCAGGGGUCAUUUCAGCUACUGGGCACCAGUCUCCUCCUCAUGUUUAUCCUGUUCCCUUUGCUUGAAAGGUUCGUACUCCAGAUCCUUGUAAAACCGCUUCUCACCCUUUGAGUCUCAGCUUAAAUGUCCCCUCCUUGGAGGGGUCUUCCCUGACAAUGAAGCUCCGACCGUCCUCUCCUGUUUUACCCAGUUCAUUUCUUUCUGGCAUUUGUAACUACUUGAAGUUAAAGUGUGUGCCAUGUAUGUGUCUGUCAGUUUCCCCCACCACACUGGAACCCCAUGAGGGCAAGGGUCUUGUCUGGAAUCUUCCUCACUUACAACUCAACAUUUAGCAAAGGACCUUUGCUAAAUUAACAGGCAUUCAUUUUGUAUUUGAAAAAUGAACUAGUGAGGCCGGGCGUGGUGGCUCACACCUGCAAUCCCGGCACUUUGGGAGACCGAGGCGGGCUUGAGGUCAGGAGUUCGAGACCGGCCUGGCCAACAUGGUGAAACCCCAUUAAAAAUACAAAAAUUGGCUGGGCGCGGUGGCUCACGCCUGUAAUCCCAACACUUCGGGAGGCUGAAGCGGGCGGAUCACGAGGUUAGGAGUUCAAGACCAGCCUGACCAACAUAGUGAAACCCCAUCUCUACUAAAAAUACAAAAAUUAGCCGGGCAUGAUGGCAGGCGCCUGUAAUCCCAGCUACUCGGGAGGCUGAGGCGGAAGAAUCGCUUGAACCAGGAGGUGGAGAUUGCCGUGAGCUGAGAUCACGCCACUACACUCCAGCCUGGGCAACAGAGCACGAAUCCAUCUCCGAAAAACAAACAAAAAAACGAAUGUGUGAGGAACGCAGCAAAGCCCCUACAGUUAACGUUUGCCGCCCUCUGCCCCUCAG